UGAGUCCUUAAUAGAAUCCUCUAGCCAUGGUUUGCAUCUCGGUGCGCCGCCGGUGCCCUCGAUCUCGUCGAAUUCAUUUCGGGCCUUUCUUUUUCUCUAUUUCUCGAUUCGGGGUCCCGGAGUCUGGAUACUGGAAGAGAGUAGGACUAGGGCUUUUGGUCUCGCACCAUGGACGAAUCGUUCUCGGAUGCUGCAGGAAACGUAAUCAGGGAGAGAGCAACUAACGGACUGAACCCUGGACUGGUGGUCUUGCUUUUUAUUGGUGGACUUGUAUUGUUAUUCCUUGUUGGCAAUUAUGCUCUCUAUACUUAUGCACAGAGAACCCUUCCGCCUAGGAAGAAGAAGCCCGUGUCAAAAAAGAAGAUGAAGAAGGAAAGGCUCAGGCAGGGGGUCAGUGCCCCUGGAGAAUAAACAUGCCCUAAUAAACGAAGUGGGAGAACCCUAUCAACUGUUUCGAGGUUUGGUUCCAUGCCGAUAUGCAUUUGAAACUGAGUUGUGUUGUAGCAGUGUGUGUGAACUUUGAAUUUCCCUGUUCAAUUGGUGUCAGUCCAACUAGUACUGCUUGUCUGAAGAAGAAUUGUUGUGAUUUACUAGUCUUGAAUUGGUAUAUUAGGGUCCGAUCUCCUAGUACAUUUGUUUAGUAUCAAUAGUUUGUGUUUUUUCCUUUCAGUUAAUAAAUAGUACAUCAAUUUCUAGUGUAA